rnacentral:rRNA from 1 species
AUGAACGCUAGCUACAGGCUUAACACAUGCAAGUCGAGGGCAGCAUGGUCUUAGCUUGCUAAGGCCGAUGGCGACCGGCGCACGGUGAGUAACACGUAUCCAACCUGCCGUCUACUCUUGGACAGCCUUCUGAAAGGAAGAUUAAUACAAGAUGGCAUCAUGAGUCCGCAUGUUCACAUGAUUAAAGGUAUUCCGGUAGACGAUGGGGAUGCGUUCCAUUAGAUAGUAGCGGGGUAACGGCCCACCUAGUCUUCGAUGGAUAGGGGUUCUGAGAGGAAGGUCCCCCACAUUGGAACUGAGACACGGUCCAAACUCCUACGGGAGGCAGCAGUGAGGAAUAUUGGUCAAUGGGCGAGAGCCUGAACCAGCCAAGUAGCGUGAAGGAUGACUGCCCUAUGGGUUGUAAACUUCUUUUAUAAAGGAAUAAAGUCGGGUAUGGAUACCCGUUUGCAUGUACUUUAUGAAUAAGGAUCGGCUAACUCCGUG